UCCAAGACCAAGUGCUGGAUAUUUGAGACAAGCAGUUUAUUUGUGGGUCUAAGAAACAGAACGGUUUUAAGCAGCAGAAAGCUCAGCGAAGAGAAUGUCAUGUGUUCUGUGCCAGAAACGUUCACUGCGGAAUAUGUUGUUCCCACUUGGUUCUCAAGCAACAAGCUCCUAUAGGCAAACCUGUCCUCAUACACAUCUGUGAAGUCAUGAUGAGCCAUCUGGAUGAGAGGCUAGUGCCAUGUUUAAAGUACAGAAGCAUGAAAGCCCUCCAGCCAUGAAGUCAACAGAAAGAAGUUGGGGAAGAGCCAUGGAGGUUUUUGGAAUGGCCUCAGUGGCUGUGCGACAGACAAGCUCGUCUUUGGACAAGGAACCCAAGUGAUUGUGGAACCAAAAACUCAGCCUCCUACCACACCAUCUGUUUUCAUUAUGAAAAAUGGAACGAAUGUUGCCUGUCUGGUGAAGGACUUCUAUCCCAAGGACGUGAAUAUAAGUCUCAAGUCAUCCAGGAAGAUAGCGGAAUUUGACCCUGCUAUAGUCAUCUCCCCCAGCGGGAAGUACAGCGCUGUCAAGCUUGGUCAGUAUGGAGAUUCGAAUUCAGUGACAUGUUCGGUUCAGCACAACAGUGCAACUGUGCACUCGACAGACUUUGAACCACAUGCAAAUUCUCCUGAUGACAUAAAACCACCAGAACAGGAAAGUGCCACACAAGCUUCAGAGACUUGCCAUGGCUCAAAAGUUCACAGCAAGGAUGUAAACAUGAUGUCCCUCAUAGUGCUGGGGCUACGGAUGCUGUUUGUCAAGAGUGUCGCCAUCAACUUUCUCUUUACUGCCAAGUUACUCUUCUUUUAAGGCUGGCUGGCAUGAGGAGACCAUGAUUCCUGAAAGAAACCAAAAGCUUACAAAGAUGCUAUAGCCAAGGCUUCCAACUCCUAAGUGCUUCAAACUGACCCGUCACCAUUGCAUCUAAAGGGCUGCUAGGAAAACCAGCUUUUCUGUGACAGCAGCAAGCCAGCUAAUCCUCCAGUCCGGUAGAAAAGCAAAAGCCCUGGGGAGUGGGUUUGUGGGCCUGGCUCUACACGCUGCUUUAUAAAAGCAUAGAAAGCUAUGGAAAUAUAGACUUGUUUUCCUUUACCCGUAUAACUGUUAUACUUUGAAAAUGGUUUCCCUCCGUCUUUAUUUACCCAGAACUAGAAAGUGGGGAGAAGCAAAUACCAGUUUAAUAACCCGGGGGGGAAGUGGUCUUGGGAGAGAGAACAUGUGUCAUGUUAGCUAAACACGGAAAGCUGCCCACUCCUAGCCAGCGCCCUCCUCCCUCCCCUGAGGCCAGUAUGGCCCACUCUCUGUCUUUGCUCCGUUGCCAUGCAGGAGUUUUCCCAGCAGCACUAGGGCGCCAAUGACUUCAGCACUUUCUGUUUCUCCUAAUACUUUAUGCUCAUGUUUGGCUCCUGAAGGCUCUCCAAACAAACAAUAAAGCUUCUAC